rnacentral:rRNA from 1 species
GGCCUACCAUGGUGGUAACGGGUAACGGGGUGUUAGGGCACGACACCGGAGAGGGAGCCUGAGAAACGGCUACCACAUCCAAGGAUGGCAGCAGGCGCGCAAAUUACCCAAUCCCGACACGGGGAGGUAGUGACAAUAAAUAACAAUACGGGGUUCUUUUGGAUCUCGUAAUUGGAAUGAGUACAAUUUAAAUCUCUUAACGAGGAACAAUUGGAGGGCAAGUCUGGUGCCAGCAGCCGCGGUAAUUCCAGCUCCAAUAGCGUAUAUUAAAGUUGUUGCAGUUAAAAAGCUCGUAGUUGAAUUUCGGGACCAAUUUGUUGGUCGUGCCUCGGUACGUACUGGUAUUAUUGGUUUCUCCCUUCUGAAGAACCUUGAUGUCAUUAAUUUGGUGUCUUGGGGAAUCAGGACUGUUACUUUGAAAAAAUUAGAGUGUUUAAAGCAGGCAUACGCUUGAAUACAUUAGCAUGGAAUAAUGAAAUAGGACGUUUGAUUCUAUUUUGUUGGUUUCUAGGAUCGACGUAAUGAUUAAUAGGGAUAGUUGGGGGCAUUAGUAUUCAAUUGUCAGAGGUGAAAUUCUUGGAUUUAUUGAAGACUAACUACUGCGAAAGCAUUUGCCAAGGAUGUUUUCAUUAAUCAAGAACGAAAGUUAGGGGGAUCGAAGACGAUCAGAUACCGUCGUAGUUCUAACCGUAAACGAUGACAACCAGCGAUUAGUCAGCGUUAAUAUAUGACCUGACUAGCAGCUUCCG